UUCCUUCUAGUUUUCUAGAUGGCUUCAAUGGAUAUACAUUUUGGUGGAUGUGUCAUUUGCUUCGUGAGUACAAAAGAGUGAAAGGAAACAACAGCCUUCAACACCUCAUCUCUUUAUUUGCACCCUUUCCAAACAUGGUGCCUCUCCCAGACACUCUUUACUUCCCUGACUUCUUUGACUUCACUUUCCUGAGUCAAUGUCAGCAGGACAAAGUCGCCAUUCCACAGCACAGAGAGGCUUUUCAAGAUCUUCGGCGAUGUGUACUCAGCAGUUUUUUGGAGUCUGUAAGGGGUGUUGAUGGCCUCCAUUAGUCCCCACUGAUGAUGUGCAGAUGGACAGCGUAACUUAUUCUUGGUCUGGUCACAUAGGUGUAGAGUAAUCGUGUAGUAAGUGCACAUGUAGAUAUCAACAAUUAAAAUGGUUUCUCUGCUG